GACGAACGCUGGCGGCGUGCCUAAUACAUGCAAGUUGAGCGCUGAAGGUUGGUACUUGUACCAACUGGAUGAGCAGCGAACGGGUGAGUAACGCGUGGGGAAUCUGCCUUUGAGCGGGGGACAACAUUUGGAAACGAAUGCUAAUACCGCAUAAAAACUUUAAACACAAGUUCUAAGUUUGAAAGAUGCAAUUGCAUCACUCAAAGAUGAUCCCGCGUUGUAUUAGCUAGUUGGUGAGGUAAAGGCUCACCAAGGCGAUGAUACAUAGCCGACCUGAGAGGGUGAUCGGCCACAUUGGGACGGAGACACGGCCCAAACUCCUACGGGAGGCAGCAGUAGGGAAUCUUCGGCAAUGGACGAAAGUCUGACCGAGCAACGCCGCGGGAGUGAAGAAGGUUGUCGGAUCGUAAAACUCUGUUGGUAGAGAAGAACGUUGGUGAGAGUGGAAAGCUCAUCAAGUGACGGUAACUACACAGAAAGGGACGGCUAACUACGUG
rnacentral:rRNA from 1 species